UUCACUGGAGUAGCACUUUUAAUUUUUUUUGCAAGAACUUUUCCUUUGCAUUCACAACCUGACUUUUGGGCAUAAGAGGCCUGGCUUUUAGUCCAUCUCACCUUUCAACAUGCACUCAUAAGUGAACAUCAUUCCAGCUCUUGAUUUAAAGUAAGAGACCGGCGUCAUGGGUUGCAGUGCAGACAUGGCCAAGUCCAAGAACCACACCACACACAACCAGUCUCGAAAGUGGCACAGAAAUGACAUCAAGAAACCCCGAUCACAAAGAUAUGAAUCUCUUAAGGGGGUAGAUCCCAAGUUCCUGAGGAACAUGCACUUUGCCAAGAAGUACAACAAGAAGGGCCUGAAGGUGAUGUAGGCCAACAAUGCCAAGGCCGUGAGUGCACGUGCUGAAGCUAUAAAGGCCCUUAUAAAGCCCAAGGAGGUUAAGACCAAGAUUCCAAAGGGUGCCAGCCGUAAACUCAGUCGACUUGCCUACAUCGCCCACCCCAAGCUUGGGAAGCGUGCUCGUGCACGCAUUGCCAAGGGUCUCAGGCUCUGCAGGCCAAAGGCCAAGGCCAAGGAUCAGACAAAGGCCCAAUCUGCUGCUUCAUCUGCAGCUCCAGCUUCAGUUCCAGCUCAGGCUCCCAAAGGUGCCCAGGCCCCCACAAAGGCUCCAGAGUAGAGGCAUCUGUCUGCCAUGAGGACAAAAGGACUGGUGUGACCUCUAGGCUGCUGUCUGUAUGGGGCUGGGGUCCUCCUGUGCUAUUUGUACAAAUAAACUUGAGGCAG